CCGAGCCGCGCGUACAGCUCAUCUAUCGCUCCCAGCUCCACGCAGGUCAACACAAGCUUGGCAGGGUCUCAGUAUGUAGUCCAGACUGGCUUCGAGCUUGCAGCAAUCCACCUGUCUCACCAUCCCAAGUGCUGGGAUAACAGUUAGGAAGCCACAACUUGAAUAGGAUAAGUUCAUCAUUGGCCCUCUCAUCCAGGACAUAGGUGUACACCACUGAAGCUUGGCCUUUACUUCUGAUUGAUCAGGAAGCUGUGAGUGAGCCAGACACCUGAACUAUUUCUCUAGGAAUAUAUGCAAUGAAGGUGGUAUGUCUGAAUGAAAAAACAACCUACAAGGGGGUUUCACCCCAUAUUCUCAUUCCUGAAUGACAAUGAUUCCCUGAGUCCUUGGACGGAAGUUGUGUCCUGGCUCUGUUUUCCUAGACAGUUCUUCUUAUGUUGUCCUGUAAUGCCUAGGCAGAGAGUCCUGCGAUGGAAUUUGGGGUAGAAAGUUCUGCUGCACUGGAUUAAUAGCCUGCUUUCUCUGAUUUAGGAGGCUACCACCCUGGACCUGAAUAUUGUAUCCUAUGUUCCUUUUCUUUUCGAGACAAGCUCAAUAUACAGUUCAGGCUGGCUGGAAAUUCUCAGUGAUCCUCCUGCCUCAGCCUCCCGAGUGCUGGGAUUACAAGCAUGCAUCACCACAUCAGGCCUGUUUCUUUUUGAUGAAAGUGUGGGGAGACAUAUUGGCAAUCAGCAGGCAAUGUCCCCAUAUAUAUGCUUGCCACAAUGGCACUAGUACAGUGGAACUAUGAGAAGCAACCAAAGCAAGAUGUGUCUCAACACAUCUUGAGUGGGAGUGGGUAUUAUUUUGGUAACUAGGGUGGCUUUGUGUGGCUCAUUUCUACAAUCUUCCCCAGGUCUGCUGAGAACACCAAACCAUUCCAAAAAGAUUACAGUAAAUAAUACCAGGGGCCUAGCAUUCUUUCCAAGGCUUUAAUUCCAGCACACUAUUCAGGAUACAAAGUAGUUUGCCAGAGUGGCUUCACAGACUGGGGCUGUGCAGGAUCACUUUGAAUAGGACUAGAGGCUCUGUCAUGCGCACGUCCAGCCUUGGCUUCCUGUUGGCAUGUGCCAGAAUCUCAG
rnacentral:lncRNA from 1 species